GACGAACGCUGGCGGCGUGCCUAAUACAUGCAAGUAGAACGCUGAAGGAGGAGCUUGCUUCUCUGGAUGAGUUGCGAACGGGUGAGUAACGCGUAGGUAACCUGCCUGGUAGCGGGGGAUAACUAUUGGAAACGAUAGCUAAUACCGCAUAAUAGUAGAUGUUGCAUGACAUUUGCUUAAAAGUUGCAAUUGCAUCACUACCAGAUGGACCUGCGUUGUAUUAGCUAGUUGGUGAGGUAACGGCUCACCAAGGCGACGAUACAUAGCCGACCUGAGAGGGGGAUCGGCCAAACUGGGACUGAGACACGGCCCAGACUCCUACGGGAGGCAGCAGUAGGGAAUCUUCGGCAAUAGACGGAAGUCUGACCGAGCAACGCCGCGUGAGUGAAGAAGGUUUUCGGAUCGUAAAGCUCUGUUGUAAGAGAAGAACGAGUGUGAGAGUGGAAAGUUCACACUGUGACGGUAUCUUACCAGAAAGGGACGGCUAACUACGUG
rnacentral:rRNA from 1 species